rnacentral:tRNA from 1 species
GCACGGUAAUCGCCACGAAAAAGAACCGAUUUGAUGUGUAUGUUAAAGCGGCAAUGAUCUCUUGAAUUUCGUAUUGGUUAAUAAA